AGAGUUUGAUCAUGGCUCAGAGCGAACGUUAGCGGCGCGCCUAACACAUGCAAGUCGCACGAGAAGGGGGCAACCCCUGAAAGUGGCGCACGGGUGCGUAACACGUAGAUAAUCUGCCCUUAGGCGGGGGAUAACGUUCCGAAAGGAGCGCUAAUACCGCAUACAGCGCCAUCCGGUUUGCCGGGAGGUGGCAAAGGUUGGGACCCGCAAGGGCCAAUCGCCUGAGGAGGAGUCUGCGGCCCAUCAGCUAGUUGGUAAGGUAACGGCUUACCAAGGCAAAGACGGGUAGCUGGUCUGAGAGGAUGAUCAGCCACACUGGUACUGGAACACGGACCAGACUCCUACGGGAGGCAGCAGUGGGGAAUCUUGGUCAAUGGGCGCAAGCCUGAACCAGCGACGCCGCGUGAGUGAUGAAGGCCUUCGGGUUGUAAAGCUCUGUGGGGAGGGACGAAGGGCGAAGGGUUAAUAGCCCCUAGCCUGACGGUACCUUUCGAGGAAGCCCCGGCUAACUACGUGCCAGCAGCGGCGGUAAUAC
rnacentral:rRNA from 1 species